rnacentral:rRNA from 1 species
UGAGGAAUAUUGGUCAAUGGACGCAAGUCUGAACCAGCCAAGUAGCGUGCAGGAUGACGGCCCUAUGGGUUGUAAACUGCUUUUAUAUGGGGAUAAAGUGGGGAACGUGUUCCCUUUUGCAGGUACCAUACGAAUAAGGACCGGCUAAUUACGUGCCAGCAGCCGCGGUAAUACGUAAGGUCCGAGCGUUGUCCGGAAUCAUUGGGCGUAAAGGGUACGUAGGCGGAUAAGCAAGUUAGAAGUGAAAUCCUAUAGCUCAACUAUAGUAAGCUUUUAAAACUGCUCAUCUUGAGGUAUGGAAGGGAAAGUGGAAUUCCUAGUGUAGCGGUGAAAUGCGCAGAUAUUAGGAGGAAUACCGGUGGCGAAGGCGACUUUCUGGCCAUAAACUGACGCUGAGGUACGAAAGCGUGGGUAGCAAACAGG